ACAUCUACUGGUUUUAAAAUGUUUGCUUAAAAACACAUUUAAACAACUUCUGCGUAGCCAGUUCGUUCAUGUCGUGACAUCACCAGCGCGCGCUGCAUAUGCGCAUUGCGAGUUUGCGCGCCUGCCGGUGUACACAGACAGAGUUGGAAUGAGGAGUGGGGAAAUCUUGUUGCAUCCGACAAAUCUUCCUUCGUUAAAUUUUCUUCAUUAAAGUCACACAUAUACAGACGUCACAGGUCUGAUAAGGACUCUGAGGCACAGAACCAUAUUGAGUCUGGACUGGAGAUCCAGUGCCCUU